GAAAUAUCCAUCCAAACUAAUAUGCAGUGAGGAAAAAAAAGUAUUUGAUCCCCUGCUGGUUUUGAACGUUUGCCCACUGACAAAGAAAUGAUCAGUCUAUAAUUUUAAUGGUAGGUGUAUUUUAACAGUGAGAGACAGAAUAACAAAAAAAACAAAAAACAGAAAAACAUAUGUCAAAAAAAGAUAGAAAUUGAUUUGCAUGUCAAUGAGUGAAAUAAGUAUUUGACCCCUUAAAAUUAGUACUUGGUGGCAAAACCCUUGUUGUCAAUCACAGAGGUCAGAUGUUUGUUGCAGUUGGCCACCAAGUUUGCACACAUCUCACAAGGAAUUUUGUCCCACUCCUCUUUGCAGAUCCUCUCCAAGUCUUUAAGGUUUUGAGGCUGACGUUUGGCAACUCGAACCUUCAGCUCCCUCCACAGAUUUUCUAUGGGAUUAAGGUCUGGAGACUGGCUAGGCCACGCGAGGACCUUAAUGUGCUUCUUCUUGGGCCACUCCUUUAUUGCCUAUACUGUAUGUUUUGGGUCAUUGUGAUGCUGAAAUACCCAUGCUCUGGCUGAGGGAAGGACGUUCUCUCCCAAGAUUUGA